UUUAUACCCGAAAUAAAAAGAUCUAACUUUUAAAGUUUAUUAGGACUUUAUAUUAAUGUAAAAAAUAUUAAAUUAUUAUUUUUAGUUAGUGGUGAAAGGCCUCCAAUUUUAUAUCUGGAUAUUAAUUAAAUACAUUUAGUGUAGGUUAAAACUUAAUUAGGAAGUGUUAAGAUUUACUAAAAGGAGAAAUUUUUAGACUAACAUUCUUACUUGAUUAACCUUUUGUAAGUAAGACGCACCAAGAUUUAUUUAUGUGAGCUUUUCUAUUUUAAUUAAUUAUUUCUUAAUUGUAAAGUAAAUUAAUAAUGUUUAAAUUAGUAGUCGCUGUAGAAACUUUUUUUGAGGAACUAGGCAAAUUAUUGUUCGACUGUUUAACAAAAACAUAACCUAUUGAAUUUAAUUUUAGGUGAGUCCUGCCCGGUGAUAUUUUAACGGCCGCAGUACUUUGACUGUGCUAAGGUAGCAUAAUAAAUUGGCUUUUAAUUGAGGUCUAGAAUGAACGGACCUUCGGACAAUUACUGUCUUAAGAGAAUUUACAUAAAUUUACUUAAAAGGUGAAAAUUCCUUUAAAUAGCUAUUAGACAAGAAGACCCUUAGAGUUUUCAAAAAUUUUUGUUGGGGCGACAAAGUAACAUAAUAAACUUACUAAUUUUUAUGUGACGUAUAUUUAAAGUUUAAUUAAACUACCUAAGGGAUAACAGCAUAAUAAUUCUAUUGAUUGUGACCUCGAUGUUGGAUUAGGGCAUAAUAUAAUUAAACAUUAUAUUAAAAUGUUCUGUUCGAACAGUAACUCCCUACAUGAUCUGAGUUCAGACCGGCGCAAGCCAGGU
rnacentral:rRNA from 1 species